GAUUAAGUUAUUAAGGGCGCACGGUGGAUGCCUUGGCACUAGAAGCCGAUGAAGGACGUUACUAACGACGAUAUGCUUUGGGGAGCUGUAAGUAAGCUUUGAUCCAGAGAUUUCCGAAUGGGGAAACCCAGCAUGAGUUAUGUCAUGUUAUCGAUAUGUGAAUACAUAGCAUAUCAGAAGGCACACCCGGAGAACUGAAACAUCUUAGUACCCGGAGGAAGAGAAAGAAAAUUCGAUUCCCUUAGUAGCGGCGAGCGAAACGGGAAGAGCCCAAACCAACAAGCUUGCUUGUUGGGGUUGUAGGACACUCUAUACGGAGUUACAAAGGACGACAUUAGACGAAUCAUCUGGAAAGAUGAAUCAAAGAAGGUAAUAAUCCUGUAGUCGAAAAUGUUGUCUCUCUUGAGUGGAUCCUGAGUACGACGGAGCACGUGAAAUUCCGUCGGAAUCUGGGAGGACCAUCUCCUAAGGCUAAAUACUCUCUAGUGACCGAUAGUGAACCAGUACCGUGAGGGAAAGGUGAAAAGCACCCGGAAGGGAGUGAAAUAGAACCUGAAACCGUGUGCUUACAAGUAGUCAGAGCCCGUUAAUGGGUGAUGGCGUGCCUUUUGUAGAAUGAACCGGCGAGUUACGAUUUGAUGCAAGGUUAAGCAGUAAAUGUGGAGCCGUAGCGAAAGCGAGUCUGAAUAGGGCGUUUAGUAUUUGGUCGUAGACCCGAAACCAGGUGAUCUACCCUUGGUCAGGUUGAAGUUCAGGUAACACUGAAUGGAGGACCGAACCGACUUACGUUGAAAAGUGAGCGGAUGAACUGAGGGUAGCGGAGAAAUUCCAAUCGAACCUGGAGAUAGCUGGUUCUCUCCGAAAUAGCUUUAGGGCUAGCCUCAAGUGAUGAUUAUUGGAGGUAGAGCACUGUUUGGACGAGGGGCCCUCUCGGGUUACCGAAUUCAGACAAACUCCGAAUGCCAAUUAAUUUAACUUGGGAGUCAGAACAUGGGUGAUAAGGUCCGUGUUCGAAAGGGAAACAGCCCAGACCACCAGCUAAGGUCCCAAAAUAUAUGUUAAGUGGUAAAGGAUGUGGCGUUGCCCAGACAACUAGGAUGUUGGCUUAGAAGCAGCCAUCAUUUAAAGAGUGCGUAAUAGCUCACUAGUCGAGUGACACUGCGCCGAAAAUGUACCGGGGCUAAACAUAUUACCGAAGCUGUGGAUUGUCCUUUGGACAAUGGUAGGAGAGCGUUCUAAGGGCGUUGAAGCAUGAUCGUAAGGACAUGUGGAGCGCUUAGAAGUGAGAAUGCCGGUGUGAGUAGCGAAAGACGGGUGAGAAUCCCGUCCACCGAUUGACUAAGGUUUCCAGAGGAAGGCUCGUCCGCUCUGGGUUAGUCGGGUCCUAAGCUGAGGCCGACAGGCGUAGGCGAUGGAUAACAGGUUGAUAUUCCUGUACCACCUAUAAUCGUUUUAAUCGAUGGGGGGGACGCAGUAGGAUAGGCGAAGCGUGCGAUUGGAUUGCACGUCUAAGCAGUAAGGCUGAGUAUUAGGCAAAUCCGGUACUCGUUAAGGCUGAGCUGUGAUGGGGAGAAGACAUUGAGUCUUCGAGUCGUUGAUUUCACACUGCCGAGAAAAGCCUCUAGAUAGAAAAUAGGUGCCCGUACCGCAAACCGACACAGGUAGUCAAGAUGAGAAUUCUAAGGUGAGCGAGCGAACUCUCGUUAAGGAACUCGGCAAAAUGACCCCGUAACUUCGGGAGAAGGGGUGCUCUUUAGGGUUAACGCCCAGAAGAGCCGCAGUGAAUAGGCCCAAGCGACUGUUUAUCAAAAAACACAGGUCUCUGCUAAACCGUAAGGUGAUGUAUAGGGGCUGACGCCUGCCCGGUGCUGGAAGGUUAAGAGGAGUGGUUAGCUUCUGCGAAGCUACGAAUCGAAGCCCCAGUAAACGGCGGCCGUAACUAUAACGGUCCUAAGGUAGCGAAAUUCCUUGUCGGGUAAGUUCCGACCCGCACGAAAGGCGUAACGAUUUGGGCACUGUCUCAACGAGAGACUCGGUGAAAUCAUAGUACCUGUGAAGAUGCAGGUUACCCGCGACAGGACGGAAAGACCCCGUGGAGCUUUACUGUAGCCUGAUAUUGAAAUUCGGCACAGCUUGUACAGGAUAGGUAGGAGCCUUUGAAACGUGAGCGCUAGCUUACGUGGAGGCGCUGGUGGGAUACUACCCUAGCUGUGUUGGCUUUCUAACCCGCACCACUUAUCGUGGUGGGAGACAGUGUCAGGCGGGCAGUUUGACUGGGGCGGUCGCCUCCUAAAAGGUAACGGAGGCGCUCAAAGGUUCCCUCAGAAUGGUUGGAAAUCAUUCAUAGAGUGUAAAGGCAUAAGGGAGCUUGACUGCGAGACCUACAAGUCGAGCAGGGUCGAAAGACGGACUUAGUGAUCCGGUGGUUCCGCAUGGAAGGGCCAUCGCUCAACGGAUAAAAGCUACCCGGGGAUAACAGGCUUAUCUCCCCCAAGAGUUCACAUCGACGGGGAGGUUUGGCACCUCGAUGUCGGCUCAUCGCAUCCUGGGGCUGUAGUCGGUCCCAAGGGUUGGGCUGUUCGCCCAUUAAAGCGGUACGCGAGCUGGGUUCAGAACGUCGUGAGACAGUUCGGUCCCUAUCCGUCGUGGGCGUAGGAAAUUUGAGAGGAGCUGUCCUUAGUACGAGAGGACCGGGAUGGACAUACCUCUGGUGUACCAGUUGUCGUGCCAACGGCAUAGCUGGGUAGCUAUGUGUGGACGGGAUAAGUGCUGAAAGCAUCUAAGCAUGAAGCCCCCCUCAAGAUGAGAUUUCCCAACUUCGGUUAUAAGAUCCCUCAAAGAUGAUGAGGUUAAUAGGUUCGAGGUGGAAGCAUGGUGACAUGUGGAGCUGACGAAUACUAAUCGAUCGAAGACUUAAUCAA
rnacentral:rRNA from 1 species